UAGGGAUUCCUGAAUUAAACAGGUGACCCACCCAGCUGCCGGAGCAGUCAAGACGAAGACCUCCAAGAGAAGCUAGACAACUUCCACCGGAACUCAGCCUGGAGUCUGGGGGGAAGGGGUUUGCCCGAACUGUUAAAAGGUCUGGCGCCAUUAAAGUUUUCGGCUUUGAUCAGUGAA